AGCAGCCGCGGUAAUUCCAGCUCCAAUAGCGUAUAUUAAAGUUGUUGCAGUUAAAAAGCUCGUAGUUGAAUUUCGGGAUCAGACUGUCGGUCGUGCCUCGGUACGCACUGGCAUUAUUGGUUCCUACCUUCUGAAGAACCGCGAUGUCAUUAAUUUGGUGUCGCGGGGAAUCAGGACUGUUACUUUGAAAAAAUUAGAGUGUUUAAAGCAGGCUCACGCUUGAAUACAUUAGCAUGGAAUAAUGAAAUAGGACGUUUGAUUCUAUUUUGUUGGUUUCUAGGAUCGACGUAAUGAUUAAUAGGGAUAGUUGGGGGCAUUAGUAUUUAAUUGUCAGAGGUGAAAUUCUUGGAUUUCUUGAAGACUAACUAUUGCGAAAGCAUUUGCCAAGGAUGUUUUCAUUAAUCAAGAACGAAAGUUAGGGGAUCGAAGACGAUCAGAUACCGUCGUAGUCUUAACCAUAAACUAUGCCGACUAGGGAUCGGAUGAUGUUAAUUUUUUAAUGACUCA
rnacentral:rRNA from 1 species